GACGAACGCUGGCGGCGUGCUUAACACAUGCAAGUCGAACGGAAAGGCCCUGCUUUUGUGGGGUGCUCGAGUGGCGAACGGGUGAGUAACACGUGAGUAACCUGCCCUUGACUUUGGGAUAACUUCAGGAAACUGGGGCUAAUACCGGAUAGGAGCUCCUGCUCCAUGGUGGGGGUGGGAAAGUUUCGGCGGUUGGGGAUGGACUCGCGGCUUAUCAGCUUGUUGGUGGGGUAGUGGCUUACCAAGGCUGUGACGGGUAGCCGGCCUGAGAGGGUGACCGGCCACAUUGGGACUGAGAUACGGCCCAGACUCCUACGGGAGGCAGCAGUGGGGAAUAUUGCACAAUGGGCGGAAGCCUGAUGCAGCAACGCCGCGUGCGGGAUGACGGCCUGCGGGUUGUAAACCGCUUUCGCCUGUGACGAAGCGUGAGUGACGGUAAUGGGUAAAGAAGCACCGGCUAACUACGUG
rnacentral:rRNA from 1 species